rnacentral:lncRNA from 10 species
CUGGAGUCUGCGAAGGCCGGGACCCGGUUCCCCGGCCCACAGUGGGGGUGUGCAAACCCGAGAGAACUGGGAAGUGCCGUCAGAAGCGAUAACUGACGACGUCUAAUGUCUAUCUGACCGCAGUCGCUGAAACCUCUACAACUUAGUUGACCGUAACUGCCAGAGCCCUGCCCUGAAUUCCUGUCCUUACUCCCUCUUUAAGAUUGCGUACCCACUGCAGAGUGCUGAAGACGGGGUAGCCACGAGUCAAGUCUUCACCACUUGCUGGUUCCCAGGAGUAAACUUGUUUGAACGGUGACCUAAUUGCUAUAUUCACCUAGGUUGCAAAUUCGUGAAGAAUCAGCAUCAUGUUUGGCAGCUGAGUAUUGGAGCCAGGAGCCUGCCAUGAGGUUUUGAGAACAGAGUGCUGUUUUAGAGCUGGCAGCAGCAUCUCAGCCCAAGAGAAGGUUAUAUUCCCAGAGGAUGUCAGUCCCAAGGACCAGUAGCUGCCAUCAGUUUGGAUUCUGAAAACUAACUGGCAUCAACACUGGGUGUAGAAACAUGCUUGCCUUAUGUAUCAGAGGACAUGCUCAGCAGAUCCAAGAGAUAUAUUUGGCAACUUUUUCUAGAAAAGGCACAUUGGGUAUCAUUCAUUACAUUCUUGAGUUUUUUUGGGUUUUUUUUUUUUUUUUUGAGACAGUCUUGCUGUAUUGCCCAGGCUGGAGUGUGGUGGCACAAUCACAGCUCAUUGCAUCCUCAAUCACCCAGGCCUAAGCAAUCCUCCCACCUUGUAGCUGGGACUACAGCUCACAGCACACCUGGCUAAAAUUUUUUUUUUGUUG